rnacentral:rRNA from 1 species
GCGAAGGUACCGCAUCCCCUUGUUUUUUAAAUGAAAACCUGUAUAAAGGGCACGACGAAGGUUUAACUGUCUCUUUUUUCCAUUCAAUGAAAUUAAUCUCCCCGGGCAAAAGCGGAAAUAAUACCAUAAGACAAAAAAACCCGGGGGAGCUUCAAACAUUAAAUCAGCCCUUGUCCAAAAUCCCAAUUAAAGGACUAAACACUAAAGGGAGACCGGAUUUAAGGUCUUCGGUGGGGGCGCCCUUGGGGAAAAAAAAAACCCCCCCGCGGAACAAAAGUCCCAUAUUUCCAAAACUAAAAGCCCCCCCUCAAAUUUCAAAAUUUUGACCAAUUUUUGAUCGGGCUUACGCCAAUAAGGGACCGAGUACCCCA